UCGCGUCGUGGUGCGUGAUGCCCUUUUC
rnacentral:sRNA from 1 species